rnacentral:rRNA from 1 species
GACGAACGCUGGCGGCGUGCCUAAUACAUGCAAGUUGAGCGCUGAAGGUUGGUACUUGUACCCACUGGAUGAGCAGCGAACGGGUGAGUAACGCGUGGGGAAUCUGCCUUUGAGCGGGGGACAACAUUUGGAAACGAAUGCUAAUACCGCAUAAAAACUUUAAACACAAGUUUUAAGUUUGAAAGAUGCAAUUGCAUCACUCAAAGAUGAUCCCGCGUUGUAUUAGCUAGUUGGUGAGGUAAAGGCUCACCAAGGCGAUGAUACAUAGCCGACCUGAGAGGGUGAUCGGCCACAUUGGGACUGAGACACGGCCCAAACUCCUACGGGAGGCAGCAGUAGGGAAUCUUCGGCAAUGGACGAAAGUCUGACCGAGCAACGCCGCGUGAGUGAAGAAGGGUUUCGGAUCGUAAAACUCUGUUGGUGGAGAAGAACGUUGGUGAGAGUGGAAAGCUCAUCAAGUGACGGUAACUACCCAGAAAGGGACGGCUAACUACGUG